rnacentral:rRNA from 1 species
UACGUAGGGCGCAAGCGUUAUCCGGAAUUAUUGGGCGUAAAGAGCUCGUAGGCGGUUUGUCGCGUCUGCCGUGAAAGUCCGGGGCUCAACUCCGAGCCUGCGUUCGAUACUGGACGGCUAGAGUCUGGUAGGGGGGAUCUGGAAUUCCUGGUGUAGCGGUGGAAUGCGCAGAUAUCGGGAGGAACACCAGUAGCGAAGGCGGCUCGCUGGGCCAUUCCUGACGCUGAGACGCGAAAGCUAGGGGAGCGAACGAGG